rnacentral:rRNA from 1 species
GGACUUUUUAAAUCAUGGUGUAUUUACACGAAACCGCGUAUGGCUCAUUAUAACAGCUAAAAUUUACUUGAUUUUGACUUUUAUCCUACAUGGAUAACUGUGGUAAUUCUGGAGCUAAUACAUGCAUAAAAGAUGUUUCAUUUAUUGAAACAUUGCGUAUAUUAGUAUUAAAACCAAGCAUUCUUCGGAAUGUUUUGUGUUGAAACUGAAUAUAUCAUGCUGAUCGUAUGGUCUUGUACCGACGACAUGUCAUUCAAGUGUCUGAUCUAUCAACUUUCUAUAUAAGUAUAUAGUACUUAUAUGGUUUUGACGGAUAACGGGGUAUUAGGGUACGACUCCGGAGAAAAUGCCUGAGAAACGGCGUUUACAUCCAAGGAAGGCAGCAGGCGCGAAAAUUACCCACUCUCAGUACGAGGAGGUAGUGACGAGAAAUGACAAGAUCUAUUCCUUCGGGGAUGGAUCAUUGGAAUGGUUUGAUUUUAAAAUCAUUAAAGAGUAUCAAUGAGAGGGCAAGUCUGGUGCCAGCAGCCGCGGUAAUUCCAGCUCUCAUACUGCAUUGAAUUGUUGUUGCGGUUAAAAAGCUCGUAGUUGGAUCUGUACAUGAUAGGUUAGUUCAUCCUUUGGAUUGUAACUAAUACUAAAUGUUUUUUAUAAGAUUUCUUUAUAGUUCGUAAGGAUUAUAAAGUGUCUUAUGAGUUUACUUUGAAUAAAUCAGAGUGCUCAAAACAGGCGUAAGCUUGUAUGGUUUUGCAUGGAAUAAUAGAACAUGACUAUGGUUCAUGUUUUAUUGGUUUUACUUACCAUAGUAAUGAUUAAAAGGAACAAACGGGGGCAUCCGUAUCGCAGGGCGAGAGGUGAAAUUCGUGGACCCUUGCGAGACGAACUACAGCGAAAGCAUUGGCCCAAAGAAAUGAA